ACGAACGCUGGCGGCGUGCUUAACACAUGCAAGUCGAACGGAAAGGCCCUGCUUGCAGGGUACUCGAGUGGCGAACGGGUGAGUAACACGUGGGUGAUCUGCCCUGUACUUCGGGAUAAGCCUGGGAAACUGGGUCUAAUACCGGAUAGGAGCCAUUUUUAGUGUGAUGGUUGGAAAGUUUUUUCGGUGUAGGAUGAGCUCGCGGCCUAUCAGCUUGUUGGUGGGGUAAUGGCCUACCAAGGCGGCGACGGGUAGCCGGCCUGAGAGGGUGGACGGCCACAUUGGGACUGAGAUACGGCCCAGACUCCUACGGGAGGCAGCAGUGGGGAAUAUUGCACAAUGGGCGCAAGCCUGAUGCAGCGACGCCGCGUGGGGGAUGACGGCCUUCGGGUUGUAAACUCCUUUCGCUAGGGACGAAGCUUUUUGUGACGGUACCUAGAUAAGAAGCACCGGCUAACUACGUG
rnacentral:rRNA from 1 species